rnacentral:rRNA from 1 species
UAGGGAAUCUUCGGCAAUGGACGGAAGUCUGACCGAGCAACGCCGCGUGAGUGAAGAAGGUUUUCGGAUCGUAAAGCUCUGUUGUAAGAGAAGAACGAGUGUGAGAGUGGAAAGUUCACACUGUGACGGUAUCUUACCAGAAAGGGACGGCUAACUACGUGCCAGCAGCCGCGGUAAUACGUAGGUCCCGAGCGUUAUCCGGAUUUAUUGGGCGUAAAGCGAGCGCAGGCGGUUAGAUAAGUCUGAAGUUAAAGGCUGUGGCUUAACCAUAGUACGCUUUGGAAACUGUUUAACUUGAGUGCAAGAGGGGAGAGUGGAAUUCCAUGUGUAGCGGUGAAAUGCGUAGAUAUAUGGAGGAACACCGGUGGCGAAAGCGGCUCUCUGGCUUGUAACUGACGCUGAGGCUCGAAAGCGUGGGGAGCAAACAGGAUUAGAUACCCUGGUAGUCCACGCCGUAAACGAUGAGUGUUAGGUGUUAGACCCUUUCCGGGGUUUAGUGCCGCAGCUAACGCAUUAAGCACUCCGCCUGGGGAGUACGACCGCAAGGUU